CUGUUGCAGGAAGAUGUAGGAUCUCAACCACAUUUGAAGGAGGGUGAAGUUUGCAGAGGCCCAAAGCUAAUCGCCACAGCCUCCUCUGCUAGUCAGUGAGGGGAAGCAGACUCCUCCAGCUUACAUAUGGCAAAUUCUUGCUUCAAAUAAUCCUGUGGAUAGGUCCUUUUCUCCCCAUUGAGUAUAAAGAGAGCUCCACUCAGCUGAGUGUAAGCUGUUGUGAACACUCCUCUCCCCCUCCCUGGUGUCCUUGGGUCAAGAUUGGGUGUCCUCGCCUGUGACACUUCAGAGUGCACUGGCUGCUGCAGUGGUGAGCAUGCUGGAGGCUCAUGUGCCAUGCUGUUGUCUUCUUGUUAGUCUGUAUGUGUGUUUAAUAUAAGUAAGAAUGAAGUGGAAUAGAGAAGUGGAGUCAGCAGCUCUCUGCCAGCCUCUGCGUGAGCCUUCCUGCCUUCAUUAAGGCUCUGUGUGUUUUCUAUUCCUCCUAUACAGGGAAAGGCAGGUAGGAAGGGUUGUCAUGUUUUAGGGGUAUCUAUUCUUAUCCUUUCUCUCUUCUUGCCAAGCUAUCCCCUUUCUCCUGCGCCUCUCAGAUUAUGGCAAUGCAGUGCCAGGAGAAGGUGACCCACUGUUGGGAUUGUGUGGGCCACUGAGGUGAAGAAAAUUGCAGGGAAUGGGUUUGUCACUAGUGCCACUUGCAGGGGACCUGCUGGAAAUGGCAAAGAAAGAGUUGAAGGGAGAGAAAGAGGGAAGAGGAGGGAGAGCGAGAACAUACAGCUGUUAAAAAUUCAAAAUCACAGGCUGCUCCAGAGCGAGGAUUUGCUGCAGACAAGUCAGGGAGAGGAGACUGGGUUUGUUUUGAAUGGCCAGUGGCAAUAGGGGUGUUUAGUUGGAUCUGCAGUGGUGGAGCUGGGAGAGGUCUCAGCAAAGCAGAGAGGAUGGGGAGUGAUGUGGCAUGGCUGAGCUACAGUCGCACUUGCCAGAGAAGGUGGAGGGAAAACCAGACCAAAGAUGAAGUAUUUGGACCUGGAGUGCAGGCUG
rnacentral:lncRNA from 1 species